rnacentral:lncRNA from 1 species
CUUAAAAUGAAAUUAGGUGUAUUUAUAGAGAAUUCUGGUAACGCAUGUAGUAUUAGGUGUUUAGGUUUAGCAUAAUAAAGGCUAAUGCAAUACAGAGUUCCAAUAACAGUAUGUUUUAAUCUAAUAGGGCAAUAUUCUAAAUAACAAAUAUCAGAAAUGUUAAGCAAUUCAUUUAUUUUUUUUGAGACAGGGUCUCAUUCUGUCACCCAGGCUGGAGUUGCAGUGGCAUGAUUUCAGCUCACUGCAACCUCUGCCUCCUGAGUUCAAGUAAUUCUCAUGCCUCAGCCUCCCAAGUAGCUGGGACUACAAGCAUCAAACAGCAUGCCCGGCUAAUUUUUUGCUAUUUUUUGCAGAGAUGGGGUUUCGCCAUGUUGUCCAGGCUGGUCUUGAACUUCUGGGUUCAAGCAGUCCACCCACCUUGGCCUCCCAAAGUGGUGGGAUUACAAGCAUGAGCCACCGUGCCUGGCCUGCAAUUCUUUUUUUUUUUUUUUUUGAGAUGGAGUUUCGC